GACUCAGACAGGCAGUGCUCAUCGCGGACAGGGCCUCCGACAUUUGACUGGCCUUGUAACUGGAAUGCUGAAGUUAUCUGAGCGGGUACUUGGCCUCAUUUUAUAUGAAGGAAAUUUAAAUGCAGAAAGACUAAGAGAUUCAUCUAUGUUUCCAUAGACGGAGUAUGCUGCAGUUGAGAUGUGAAUUCAGGACACGUGAAUGUCCACAGUUUUGCACUCUCCUAUUGAUCUGCUUUUACGGGAUUUCAUCUUGGUUGCUAUGCUACCUCUCACAGAAGCAUCUGCAUUUAUUCGCUUCCAUUCUAGUCAACAAAAACUUAUGGAGAAUUGACUUUGUACCAGGGAUCUUUUAGGUGAGGAAACUGAAAGAGGAAAAAGACAUAGUCUCUGCACUAAAAGAGCUCCCAGUCUAUAGAGGGGACAGACACACCUACCUACUGGACAACAGACCCUCAUGUAGUAAACUAGAGAACUAUUCUAAAACUUCCAAAUGGUAGAAUGAAAGGCUUUAUACCAGUUAAAGGAGUUUAGACAUCAGCUGGCAGCUGGGGAGUGGUCUGGUGAUAUGACAGUGGACACUUGGGCUGCCUGAGAGGAGCAUGCGUUGGUCACAUAAGGUUGCCUGGGCAGAGAUCAGAAGAGAUGGACCUGGUGUCUCUCUCCCAGUUUCCUGUAUUCCCCAGGCAUGACAAGCCCACCCUCUGUGACUGCUGGUGGUCUGGUCCUGGUAAGUGGUCCAUCUGCCUCUUCCAACCACAGCUUUUAUCCCCAUCACAGACUCUGGGCCUACCAAAUCCCUUCUGCAAUCCCCAGCUCCCAGGGCCCAAGAGUCCAGUGUGCUCUCUCAGCCUCUCUCCCCUUUCAUCCAUAGGCAGACUGGAUCCUUGUGCUAGAAAUCCUUCCAGAACCAGCAAUCUGGGCCCCAUCUUUUUCUCUGGCAACAGAAAAAGGCAGAAUACACAGCCCAGGAAGAACUCUGGCAGGAAACCCCUGAAGGGUGACCCAGAACACCUUAGGUCUUGGAAAAUGGACAGGGAGUCUGGAAACAUGGCCCCAGGUGCUGGCUGCACAGAUCUUUGCUUUGUUUUUUUUUAAGUGUAUUAUUUUUAUGUUAAUUUUUUUAUUUCCAUAGGUUUUUGGAAAACAGGUGGUGUUUGGUUCCAUGAGUAAGUUCCUUAGUGGUGAUUUCUGAGAUUUUGGUGCACCCUUCACCCAAGCAGUGUACACUGCACCCAAUUUGUAGUCUUAUCCUCAUCUCUCACCUUAUACAAAAAUCAACUCAAGAUGGAUCAAGCACUUAAAAUCUAAGACCUGAAACUAUAAAAAUUCUAGAAGAUAACAUCAGAAAAACCCUUCUAGACAUUGGCUUAGGCAAAGACUUCAUGACCAAGGACCCAAAAGCAAAUGCAACAAAAACAAAGAUAAAUAGGUGAGACUGAAUUAAACUAAAGAGCUUCUGCACAGCAAAAAAUCCUUGCUUUUUAAUAUGUGCCAGUGUGUAUGGGUGGAGAAAGAGUGGGGUGGCCAUGAAAAUGCACCAUGCAGCUCUUCUGCUGUGGGGGGCAGAGUUGACUGACGACCUCAGCCACUGCCCUGCUGGGUCCACCGCUGUGGCUAUGUCAAAACCUAAGCCAUGCUGCCAGCAAUUUGCUCCCAAUCAACCCCAAGCACAGCAGGGAGUGAGUGCAGGCCCACUCCUGUGAGAAUCAGGGCUCCUCUAAUAGGUGCCUGGGCUCGAGGACAUCCCAGAGGCCUGGCCAAAGCUUUCUUGAAACUGCUCUAGAGUCUGGGACCCUUCCUAUCCAAUCUUCCUUUGUUCCCGUCUCCUCUGCAGGUGUGAGGCUGCAUCUGGGUCUGACGACUCUCGCUGCCCCCUCCCCUUUAUCCUUCACAGGUGUUUCUUGUGCACAUCGAUGCACAUCCUGGCAUCUGCUUCUUGGAGGACCAGAAUUUACACUGUAUUUGAUGAAACUUAAAUUAAUCUAAACUGUGAUAACGACACUUUAUACAUCAUCCUGAGCUAAGAAAUUCGAAGCAAAAAAGUCAUAAAAAUAAGGCUUGGUAGUAACACAAGUAAUAACAAUUACAGGAAUUUAUAGAAACUGCUUACCAUUUAUGCCUAAUUACCAUACAGAGCAACAGCAAUUAUACAGAUUAUUAAAUACAGGUCAAAUUAACAUUGUUGAGGGUAGAGUGUACUCGAUUUAAGAUGUGGAUUCAGGACACUCAGAUGUAGUAAUCCAUAUUGAUUACGGCACUGAAUUCUGUUCUUCCAAUCUUCUAAAAAUGACUAAGACAAAUUUUUUAAGAUUAGAGAGUGGGUGGCGUGGAUGAUGAGAAAUUACUUAAUGGGUACGAUGUACAUUAUUUGGGUGAUGAACACCCUAAAAGCCUUCACCACUACACAAUCUAUGCAUGAAACAAAACUGCAUUUCUACCUCAUACAUUUAUACAAAACAAAGCAAAAAUAAAAACUGGAGGAAACAAUGUGGCAAAGACCAAUUUUCUUCAAAAUCCACAUAACGGCAAGGGACAAACUUUAACAGUUCCACCUGAAUAAACUUACCAGCAAAGAUUUGUCCUUCUUGUGCCUCACCCUGGGUUAUGAGAUUUCAAGUAUAAGCAAAGAAACUACCUUCAUUUCUUAAGGGUUAUCUUUUCAAAUGUGUUUUGAAAACCAAAUCCUGCCUAUCUGGGAUUGCUCCAUAUUCUCUAGUGAAAACAGCUUCAUAAAGUGAUUCAUCCUCUCCAGGCCACCUGAGCCCAUGCCUGGAAAUGUGGUCCUCUUAUUUGCUAACAAAUAAGGGCUUACUCAGGACCUGGACCAACAAACAGGCAAUGGCUUGCACUACCUGAGCCAUGGAGCCCACAAGUUCAGGAUUUAAUCUGCAAAAUCCAGGCAGCUGCUACCAAGUGUAAUCGUGCCCCAUCUGUGAACACCUGGGCUUCUCACCUUCUUCACAGUGCCACCAGGUGUGAGAUAGUACCAUCCCUGGGUCACAGACAAAGUGCGACAGGAAAGGCCAGAAGUUCACAAGGUAUGCUAUGAACAUACAAGAUGACGGUAAGACUACAAAUCCUACCUCGGGGAGCAUCGCUCAGCUCUUCUUAGCUUACAGGUUUGGACACCAUGUCUCAGCUACCCUUGACUAAGGCUGAGAGACCAGGAUGGGCAUCUGCCCAGAAGGCUCCGGGGGCUUCUAACACAAGGUAGAAACUGCCAAGUAGACCACUUUUAUGCAAUAAACCUUCAGCAGGCUGGUGGAGAAUGGGAGUAACCUUUCUUGAAGGUCUAUCUUGAAGAUAAUCAUCCAGGCCUUAUGUUGGGCAUUUUGUCAUUUUACCAUCUUUAACUCUUACCACAGCCUCUUUUCCUGAUGAAGACAGUUAGGGCCAAAGAAGUUUAAAUAACUUACUCAGGUCACUCAGACAGGAAAUGGCAAAAUCAGAACUGGAACGAGCUGCUUAACUCCAACUUCUCUUUCUACUUCGUAUUAACUCUUAGGAGUCUUUGAAGAAGAAGAAAGGAAAUUUGGGUCACAUAGGUAUUCGUUUCCUAUUGCUGCUGUAACAAAUCACCCCCAAGUUAAUAGCUGAAAACAACACGUUUAUCAUCUUAGUGUUCUGGAGGUCGAAGUCUAAAAUGGGUCUUGCUGAGCUAAAAGCAAGGUGUGGGCAGGGCUGCAUUCCUUCUGGAGGCUCCAGGGGAUAAUCUGUUUCCGGCUUUAUGAGUUUCCAGGUACCUCCUCCCACGUUCCUUCCACGUGGCCCCUCCCUCCAUCUUUAAAGUACAACACGGCAACCACUGUUUCUGUUAUCACACUUCCCUCUUCCGAUUUUGACUUUGUUGCCUCCCACUGAUAAGGAUUUUGGUGAUUACACUGAGCCCACCAGGAUAGUCUCCCUGAUCUCAAGAUCCUUAACUUAAUCACGUUUGCAAAGUCCCCUUUUCCACGGAGGGUAACAUAUUCGCAGGUCUGGGGAUUAGGACACGCACAUCAGAAUGUUAUUCUGCCUACCACACAUAUAUAGUGGGUCCCAUGUCUCCCCUCCUUUGCCCUAUUGCAUGGCUUGUAUAAGAUUCUCAUCUGUCCAUCCAAAUCACAGAUUUGAGGGCUUCUACCAGAACAUGAAGCUGGGCAACAUUUCUUUGCACAAACUUGUACAUAGCUGUCACUUGAAAUGCCAAAAACACGGUUGUAAUAUUUCAACAAGCUAACAUAUGGGUACUUCUUACUUUGGGGUUUUUUUUAAACUUAUUUUAUUAACAGCCAAAUAAUUAUUGCACAUACUCAUGGGAUACAUAGGGAUGUUUUCAUACAUGUAAUGUACAGUGAUCAGAUCAGGGUAAUUAGCAUAUCCAACAUCCCAAAGAUUUAUCAUUUCUUCAUGUUGGAAGCAGCAAUAUUCUCCUUCUAGCCAUUUGACUAUAGUCACCCUAUAGUGGUAUAGUGGUAACUAUAGUGCUGUAGUUAACGAUAGUCAUCCUACAGUGGUACAGAACACUAGAACUUACUCUUCUCCUCUACCCAUAAUUGUGUAUCCUGAUCUCUCCCUUCCCCUGCCCUUCCCAGACUCUAUUUUUAAUUGUUUGGCUAAGGUGGAUGGUGACAUUGGAGCUGAAAACAACCAUUAAUCCUCCUUAAUAAAAAUUAAUUUGAUCCUUGAA